GUUUUUGUUUGGAGAGUUUGAUCCUGGCUCAGGACGAACGCUGGCGGCGUGCUUAACACAUGCAAGUCGAACGGAAAGGCCCUUCGGGGUACUCGAGUGGCGAACGGGUGAGUAACACGUGGGUGA
rnacentral:rRNA from 1 species